rnacentral:rRNA from 1 species
UACGAAGGGGGCGAGCGUUGUUCGGAUUUACUGGGCGUAAAGGGCGCGCAGGCGGCUUAUUUUGUCAGGCGUGAAAGCCCCGGGCUUAACCUGGGAACUGCGUUUGAUACGGAUGGGCUAGAGUUCGGGAGAGGAGCGUGGAAUUCCCAGUGUAGAGGUGAAAUUCGUAGAUAUUGGGAAGAACACCGGUGGCGAAGGCGGCGCUCUGGACCGAGACUGACGCUGAGGCGCGAAAGCGUGGGGAGCAACA